rnacentral:rRNA from 1 species
CGGGGGUUUGUUAAAUCCUCUUGAGCCAGGGAUGAAGCGAAAGUGACGGUACCUGCAGAAAAAAAGCGCCGGCUAACUACGUGCCAGCAGCCGCGGUAAUACGUAGGGCGCAAGCGUUAUCCGGAAUUAUUGGGCGUAAAGAGCUCGUAGGCGGUUUGUCGCGUCUGCUGUGAAAUCCGGAGGCUCAACCUCCGGCCUGCAGUGGGUACGGGCAGACUAGAGUGCGGUAGGGGAGAUUGGAAUUCCUGGUGUAGCGGUGGAAUGCGCAGAUAUCAGGAGGAACACCGAUGGCGAAGGCAGAUCUCUGGGCCGUAACUGACGCUGAGGAGCGAAAGGGUGGGGAGCAAACAGGCUUAGAUACCCUGGUAGUCCACCCCGUAAACGUUGGGAACUAGUUGUGGGGUCCAUUCCACGGAUUCCGUGACGCAGCUAACGCAUUAAGUUCCCCGCCUGGGGAGUACGGCCGCAAGGCUAAAACUCAAAGGAAUUGACGGGGACCCGCACAAGCGGCGGAGCAUGCGGAUUAAUUCGAUGCAACGCGAAGAACCUUACCAAGGCUUGACAUAUACGAGAACGGGCCAGAAAUGGUCAACUCUUUGGACACUCGUAAACAGGUGGUGCAUGGUUGUCGUCAGCUCGUGUCGUGAGAUGUUGGGUUAAGUCCCGCAACGAGCGCAACCCUCGUUCUAUGUUGCCAGCACGUAAUGGUGGGAACUCAUGGGAUACUGCCGGGGUCAACUCGGAGGAAGGUGGGGAUGACGUCAAAUCAUCAUGCCCCUUAUGUCUUGGGCUUCACGCAUGCUACAAUGGCCGGUACAAAGGGCUGCAAUACCGCGAGGUGGAGCGAAUCCCAAAAAGCCGGUCCCAGUUCGGAUUGAGGUCUGCAACUCGACCUCAUGAAGUCGGAGUCGCUAGUAAUCGCAGAUCAGCAACGCUGCGGUGAAUACGUUCCCGGGUCUUGUACACACCGCCCGUCAAGUCAUGAAAGUCGGUAACACCUGAAGCCGGUGGCCUAACCCUUGUGGAGGGAGCCGUCGAAG